rnacentral:rRNA from 1 species
GUCUGAAUAUGGGGGGACCAUCCUCCAAGGCUAAAUACUCCUGACUGACCGAUAGUGAACCAGUACCGUGAGGGAAAGGCGAAAAGAACCCCGGCGAGGGGAGUGAAAAAGAACCUGAAACCGUGUACGUACAAGCAGUGGGAGCCCCACCACUAAGCCAGUGGUGAACUCCACAUACGCAUCCUUUGCUGAGGAUACGGUUAACGGAGCGAAAGCGAUGUUCAACCGCAAAAGAAGCAGAGGGGGCUUAGUGGUGGGGUGACUGCGUACCUUUUGUAUAAUGGGUCAGCGACUUAUAUUCUGUAGCAAGGUUAACCGAAUAGGGGAGCCGGAGGGAAACCGAGUCUUAACCGGGCGUUAAGUUGCAGGGUAUAGACCCGAAACCCGGUGAUCUAGCCAUGGGCAGGUUGAAGGUUGGGUAACACUAACUGGAGGACCGAACCGACUAAUGUUGAAAAAUUAGCGGAUGACCUGUGGCUGGGGGUGAAAGGCCAAUCAAACCGGGAGAUAGCUGGUUCUCCCCGAAAGCUAUUUAGGUAGCGCCUCGUGAAUUCAUCUCCGGGGGUAGAGCACUGUUUCGGCUAGGGGGCCAUCCCGGCUUACCAACCCGAUGCAAACUGCGAAUACCGGAGAAUGUUAUCACGGGAGACACACGGCGGGUGCUAACGUCCGUCGUGAAGAGGGAAACAACCCAGACCGCCAGCUAAGGUCCCAAAGUCAUGGUUAAGUGGGAAACGAUGUGGGAAGGCCCAGACAGCCAGGAUGUUGGCUUAGAAGCAGCCAUCAUUUAAAGAAAGCGUAAUAGCUCACUGGUCGAGUCGGCCUGCGCGGAAGAUGUAACGGGGCUAAACCAUGCACCGAAGCUGCGGCAGCGAACGUAUCACCCAAGACAACUUUACGGAGUUAACGAUUGACGGAGCGAAGCGACGUCAAAGCGUUCAUUAAAGUCGAGUUGGCUUAGGGAUACGUUCGUUGGGUAGGGGAGCGUUCUGUAAGCCUGUGAAGGUGGCCUGUGAGGGUUGCUGGAGGUAUCAGAAGUGCGAAUGCUGACAUAAGUAACGAUAAAGCGGGUGAAAAGCCCGCUCGCCGGAAGACCAAGGGUUCCUGUCCAACGUUAAUCGGGGCAGGGUGAGUCGACCCCUAAGGCGAGGCCGAAAGGCGUAGUCGAUGGGAAACGGGUUAAUAUUCCCGUACUUGGUGUUACUGCGAAGGGGGGACGGAGAAGGCUAUGUUGGCCGGGCGACGGUUGUCCCGGUUUAAGCGUGUAGGUGUGUGUUCCAGGUAAAUCCGGUUCACUUUAACACUGAGGCGUGAUGACGAGGCACUACGGUGCUGAAGCAACAAAUGCCCUGCUUCCAGGAAAAGCCUCUAAGCAUCAGGUAACAUCAAAUCGUACCCCAAACCGACACAGGUGGUCAGGUAGAGAAUACCAAGGCGCUUGAGAGAACUCGGGUGAAGGAACUAGGCAAAAUGGUGCCGUAACUUCGGGAGAAGGCACGCUGACACGUAGGUGAAGUGAUUUACUCAUGGAGCUGAAGUCAGUCGAAGAUACCAGCUGGCUGCAACUGUUUAUUAAAAACACAGCACUGUGCAAACACGAAAGUGGACGUAUACGGUGUGACGCCUGCCCGGUGCCGGAAGGUUAAUUGAUGGGGUCAGCGCAAGCGAAGCUCCUGAUCGAAGCCCCGGUAAACGGCGGCCGUAACUAUAACGGUCCUAAGGUAGCGAAAUUCCUUGUCGGGUAAGUUCCGACCUGCACGAAUGGCGUAAUGAUGGCCAGGCUGUCUCCACCCGAGACUCAGUGAAAUUGAACUCGCUGUGAAGAUGCAGUGUACCCGCGGCAAGACGGAAAGACCCCGUGAACCUUUACUAUAGCUUGACACUGAACAUUGAGCCUUGAUGUGUAGGAUAGGUGGGAGGCUUUGAAGUGUGG